AACGCGAAGAACCUUACCAGGGCUUGACAUCCAACUAACGAAGCAGAGAUGCAUUAGGUGCCCUUCGGGGAAAGUUGAGACAGGUGGUGCAUGGUUGUCGUCAGCUCGUGUCGUGAGAUGUUGGGUUAAGUCCCGCAACGAGCGCAGCCCCUAUUGUUAGUUGCUACGCAAGAGCACUCUAGCGAGACUGCCGUUGACAAAACGGAGGAAGGUGGGGACGACGUCAAAUCAUCAUGCCCCUUAUGUCCUGGGCUACACACGUAAUACAAUGGCGUUUAACAGAGGGAAGCAAGACCGCGAGGUGGAGCAAAUCCCUAAAAGACGUCUCAGUUCAGAUUGCAGGCUGCAACUCGCCUGUAUGAAGUCGGAAUUGCUAGUAAUCGCGGAUCAGCAUGCCGCGGUGAAUACGUUCCCGGGCCUUGUACACACCG
rnacentral:rRNA from 1 species